UACGUAGGGGGCAAGCGUUGUCCGGAUUUACUGGGCGUAAAGCGCGUGUAGGCGGAAAUGCCAGUCCGGCCUGAAAGCCCUCGGCUCAACCGAGGAUCCGGGUCGGAAACUGCAUUUCUUGAGGGCGGAAGAGGCGUGUGGAAUUCCUGGUGUAGCGGUGAAAUGCGUAGAGAUCAGGAGGAACACCCAUGGCGAAGGCAGCACGCUGGUCCGACCCUGACGCUGAGACGCGAAAGCGUGGGGAGCGAACAGG
rnacentral:rRNA from 1 species